CACGUAGGGUGCGAGCGUUGUCCGGAAUUAUUGGGCGUAAAGAGCUCGUAGGCGGUGUGUCGCGUCGGCCGUGAAAACCCAGGGCUUAACUCUGGGCUUGCUUUCGAUACGGGCAGACUAGAGGUAUGCAGGGGAGAACGGAAUUCCUGGUGUAGCGGUGAAAUGCGCAGAUAUCAGGAGGAACACCGGUGGCGAAGGCGGUUCUCUGGGCAUUACCUGACGCUGAGGAGCGAAAGUGUGGGGAGCGAACAGG
rnacentral:rRNA from 1 species